AACGCACAUUGCGCCCGCCAGCACUCUGGCGGGCAUGCCCGUCCGAGCGUCGCACCACCCGUCAGGCCCGGCCUGUGCUGGGGCCCCGCGGCCGCCGCGGGCCCCCAAAGACAGCGGCGGGGCCGCCGCCGCGCCGAGCGCAGUAACCACGCCGCUCCGGCGCGGGGGCGUCCCCGCCUGACCGCACGCACCGUCGACCUCGGAUCGGGUAGGGAUACCCGCCGAACUUAA
rnacentral:misc_RNA from 1 species